AUUUGUCAAUGAUGCUAACUGAGCUAUUCUGUUAGUUAGCUAGCUUACUAGUUAUGCAAUGCCACAACGCCUGCUUGUUUGACUUUGGCUUGAACUGAAAUGUUGGUGUUAAAAAUGUGCUUGUUUGAUUGUAAUGCCAUGAGUUCAAAUAACUUGGAUUGUUACUGCAAUAGUUUCUUUCUUUUAUACUUGUUGCACUUGUAUGUUUUGCCUAUGUUAAUUGCUCUGC
rnacentral:lncRNA from 1 species